GAGCUUGCUUUGACAGCCCAUAUACUAAAAUUGGAUACAUAGAAGAUUAGCACAGUCCACAUGCAAAGGUGCCACACAAAUCCAUGAAGCAUUCUAUAUUUUU
ensembl:snRNA U6 U6 spliceosomal RNA